rnacentral:rRNA from 1 species
UACAGAGGUCUCAAGCGUUGUUCGGAUUCAUUGGGCGUAAAGGGUGUGUAGGUGGCGCGCUAAGUCGGGUGUGAAAUUUCGGAGCUUAACUCCGAAACUGCAUUCGAUACUGGCGUGCUUGAGGACUGGAGAGGAGACGGGAAUUCAUGGUGUAGCAGUGAAAUGCGUAGAGAUCAUGAGGAAGACCAGUGGCGAAGGCGGGUCUCUGGACAGUUCCUGACACUGAGACACGAAGGCCAGGGGAGCAAACGGG